rnacentral:rRNA from 1 species
CACGUAGGGUGCGAGCGUUGUCCGGAAUUAUUGGGCGUAAAGAGCUCGUAGGCGGUGUGUCGCGUCGGCCGUGAAAACCUGCAGCUUAACUGUGGGCGUGCGGUCGAUACGGGCAUCACUGGAGUUCGGCAGGGGAGACUGGAAUUCCUGGUGUAGCGGUGAAAUGCGCAGAUAUCAGGAGGAACACCGGUGGCGAAGGCAGGGUCUCUGGGCCAUACUGACGCUGAGAGCGAAAGCUGGGGAGCGAACAGG